GGUGAAGGGUUCGAUCCCCAUUACCACCAAAAAAGCACCUCCUUCUAGUCCUGGGCCCUGCAUCCUAGUUGUCCCCUGUUUGCUCCUGAAGAUGCUGCUUGUUUAAGUAGAUAAAGUGGAGAGCAGCAAAAGAAGAAGCAAUGGAUUAAGAGGGGGCAGGUCCCAAGGAAAUGUCUCGGGCCAGACAGAAAUGCCUCAUGGGGAUGGAGCCUUCGGGAAGGUGAGGGAGAAAGCAAGUUCUUCCCCAGAGCCUCAUGGAGACUGGGAAAGGAAUGUUUCUUCCCCAAGCUUAGCAGGCAGCCUGGCUGGGAGCCAUUUGGCAACAUCCCCAGCAGGAAAGUUGGGGAAGAAGCAACAGUACCACCCCCAAGAUGCUGCAGCAACAGACACAGAGACGGUCUGUCGGCUCCUGCCUGGGGGACCCCCAGCCCAGGUGCAUCCCCAAGAUGGGGAGGAGGAGCCCUCCUGCCUCAGUGACUGAGGAGCAAGCUCAC
rnacentral:lncRNA from 1 species